GACGAACGCUGGCGGCGUGCUUAACACAUGCAAGUCGAACGGAGCGAAUGAAAGCUUGCUUUUAUAAGCUUAGUGGCAAACGGGUGAGUAACACGUAGACAACCUGCCGACAGGAUGGGGACAACAUUCCGAAAGGAAUGCUAAUACCGAAUGAAGUGCAGGGGAGGCAUCUCCCCUGCAUGAAAGAUGGCCUCUUUUUAUGCUAUCACCUGUUGAUGGGUCUGCGUCUGAUUAGCUGGUAGGUGAGGUAACGGCUCACCUAGGCGACGAUCAGUAGCCGGUCUGAGAGGAUGAACGGCCACAUUGGGACUGAGACACGGCCCAGACUCCUACGGGAGGCAGCAGUGGGGAAUCUUCCGCAAUGGGCGCAAGCCUGACGGAGCAACGCCGCGUGAGUGAAGAAGGUCUUCGGAUCGUAAAGCUCUGUUGAUGGGGACGAACGUGCCUAAUGCGAAUAGUAUUAGGUAAUGACG
rnacentral:rRNA from 1 species